GUUGGUGGAGUGAUUUGUCUGGUUAAUUCCGUUAACGAACGAGACUUUGACCUGCUAAAUAGACACCGUAGGGUUUCCUAUGGCUGCGCUUCUUAGAGGGACUUUACGUGCUUAACGUAAGGAAGUUCAAAGCAAUAACAGG
rnacentral:rRNA from 1 species